rnacentral:rRNA from 1 species
AUGCUCAAGCACCACUAAGUCCAUAUUCGCCAGAAAAUUACGGGCGAAAGCCUAAAACUCAAAAGACUUGACGGUGUCCCAACCCCCCUAGAGGAGCCUGUUCCAUAAUCGACAACCCCCGAUACACCUAACCACCCCUAGACCAAACCAGCCUAUAUACCGCCGUCGAACAGCUUACCUUUAAAAGACUACAAGUAAGCCAAAUAGUAAACACUAACAAGUCAGGUCAAGGUGUAGCUUAUGGGGUGGAGGAAAUGGGCUACAUUAUUUAAUGUAAAUUACACGAACUACCCCAUGAAAAAGAUAAUGAAGGCGGAUUUAGCAGUAAUUUAAACAAGAAUAUUUAAAUUAACACCGGCUCUGGGACAUGUACACACCGCCCGUCACCC